rnacentral:rRNA from 1 species
CGAACGCUGGCGGCGUGCUUAACACAUGCAAGUCGAACGGCAAGGCCCUGCUUGCAGGGUACUCGAGUGGCGAACGGGUGAGUAACACGUGGGUGAUCUGCCCUGCACUUCGGGAUAAGCCUGGGAAACUGGGUCUAAUACCGGAUAGGAGCCAUUUUUAGUGUGAUGGUUGGAAAGUUUUUUCGGUGUAGGAUGAGCUCGCGGCCUAUCAGCUUGUUGGUGGGGUAAUGGCCUACCAAGGCGGCGACGGGUAGCCGGCCUGAGAGGGUGGACGGCCACAUUGGGACUGAGAUACGGCCCAGACUCCUACGGGAGGCAGCAGUGGGGAAUAUUGCACAAUGGGCGCAAGCCUGAUGCAGCGACGCCGCGUGGGGGAUGACGGCCUUCGGGUUGUAAACUCCUUUCGCUAGGGACGAAGCUUUUUGUGACGGUACCUAGAUAAGAAGCACCGGCUAACUACGUG